AGUCUCUGGAGUGUAUGCAAUAGUGAUGGUCAUCUUGGCCAGCCAUCAGCUGGGGCUUGCAUUUCCACAUCCAUUACUCUGAUAGGAGACCUCUCAACGCCAAGAGACAUGUUGUUCCUGGCUUUCUCUGUUUCAAGUGAAAUGUUUAGUGCUGACUUUCAGUUUUAAGCUUCACCUCUUCAGAGUUGACAUAGAUUUUUAGUUGCUGUCCUGGCUGGCUGGUGCACACUUGUUUUCUGUUGGCCACCCAUCUUUUAUGCUCCCUGAGAGGCAGCUAAUUAAAAUCCACGCUUCUACGAAAUGAUGUCUUAGAUUUAUUGAAGAGGUAAAGGAGCUUCAUGGUCUUCAUGGUGAUGUAUUCCUUCUCUCAUCUUAAGACGUGAGAAAACAAUGAAUGAAGAGGAGUGCUACUCUGAACCCCACCUGACACCAAUUCACUCUUCCCUACAGUAUGUUUGUGACUUUAUGUGAGGAAUUAAUAAGUGGGCAGAAAUAAUAGCAAGCUAAUAUCACAUAUCUAUUAUGUUUCUCAAACAGGUUUGAAAUAAAUUUUGGAACUUGUG
ensembl:lncRNA